GUGAAGGAAACGAGGGCCAAGUUCUCGGGGGUUACGGUGACGGUGGCACGUUUUUCCCCUCGCGCACGCGCGGAUGACGUCCUCGUCGACGACGUACGGGAAACUACAUGCCUUAAAUCCGCACGCGCGCCUGCGUGUACAUAUUACUAUGGGUCGAACGCCGAUUUAAGUCUUGGAUUAACGUUUGUUUAGAUAACACGGCGCGCUCCGCGUCGUCGACGCCGACGCAAUUAUUAGACGUGAUAGCUUUGUAAUAUAUCUGUGAUGCAGAAUAUAUAUACAAACCUAUUAACAUACGGAACAAUUGUAUAAUUAUUAUUA